rnacentral:rRNA from 1 species
UACAGAGGAGCCAAGCGUUGUCCGGAUUUACUGGGCGUAAAGCGCACGCAGGCGGACGCGCGCGUGGGGUGUGAAAUCUGGCCGCUUAACGGCCAGGCGCCAUCCCAUACGGCGCGUCUGGAGCAAUGCAGAGGUCGGUGGAAUUGCCGGUGUAGUGGUGAAAUGCGUAGAGAUCGGCAGGAACACCCAGGGGGAAACCAGUGGACUGGGCAGGAGCUGACGCUCAGGUGCGAAAGCGUGGGGAGCGAACCGG